ACGAACGCUGGCGGCGUGCCUAACACAUGCAAGUCGAGCGCGAAUGGAGCAAUCCUAGUAGCGCGGCGCACGGGUGCGUAACACGUGGGUAAUCUGCCUGGGAGACCGGAAUAACCUGCCGAAAGGCUGGCUAAUACCGGAUAAGCCCACGGACUCUUCGGAGUCUGAGGGAAAAGGUGGCCUCUGUAUACAAGCUAUCACUUCCAGAUGAGCCCGCGGCCCAUCAGCUCGUUGGCGGGGUAAAGGCCCACCAAGGCAACGACGGGUAGCUGGUCUGAGAGGACGAUCAGCCACACUGGAACUGAGACACGGUCCAGACUCCUACGGGAGGCAGCAGUGGGGAAUUUUGCACAAUGGGCGAAAGCCUGAUGCAGCAACGCCGCGUGUGUGAUGAAGGUCUUCGGAUCGUAAAGCACUUUCGACCGGACGAACCCCGUUCGGCUAACAUCCAACGGCUUGACGGUACCGGGAGAAGAAGCACCGGCUAACUCUGUGCCAGC
rnacentral:rRNA from 1 species